UUUUUGUAAGGCAUGUAUAAACAAAAUGCCACUGUGUAAUACUCGGCCUAGGCCAAAAUCAGAAGUGGUCCAGCCCUUGAAGGCUAUAUGACUUCGUGUAGGUAAGUGUUUUGUUUUCCCCUUUCAAUUUUAGUUUUCUCCCUACCCCAUUUCUUUCUUCCUCCUCUCGAGUUUCUCUCCUCAAUAACUUUCUUUCACCUUUAUGUUUUAGCAGUUACCUCUUCUCAAAACUUUUUUGGUGUUAACUUCCUUUUUGUUUAUCUCACCUGUAGCAAACCCUUGACUUCUCUUAGAUGAAAUUCUAGAUAUUUAUGCCCCUCUACACCGUGCACCUCUUCUAUUUCGGGCCUUGCAAAUUAAUCUCUUCCCUCUAUGCCAUACGACAUCCUCAUUGUUGCAAAUAUUCUCGUUGCCAUUAUUUUCUCCUGUUUUCUCUAGUGAACCAAGAUGACUUUGAAGAUACAGCUAAAGAUCAAUAAUAGAGUAUGUGGCAAGAAUAAUUGACAGUGAUUGUUGAAUACCUGGGAGUACUAGUGCUGUUGGACGAUCUAAUUAUUAAGUAAUUUGAUUUUAAUAUAUUUAGAUUAUUACGAAGACUUGAAUAUUAUUUCAGUUCGUUAUGUUAAUAGAGACGUGGAGAAAUUAAUUUAUUUUAUUUAGAUUAUUGUAUUAAGGAAUUGAUGAAUUGAUAUGUGCAAUUAAUUAUAUCAGAGGAAUUUAUGUUUGAUUUUGGAGUUUUUGCAAAUAUAUUUUAGAUAUGAAAGAUACGAUA